rnacentral:rRNA from 1 species
AGAGUUUGAUCCUGGCUCAGAUUGAACGCUGGCGGCAUGCCUUACACAUGCAAGUCGAACGGCAGCACGGGAGCAAUCCUGGUGGCGAGUGGCGAACGGGUGAGUAAUACAUCGGAACGUGUCCUGUAGUGGGGGAUAGCCCGGCGAAAGCCGAUUAAUACCGCAUACGCUCUACGGAGGAAAGGGGGGGAUCGAAAGACCUCUCGCUAUAGGGGCGGCCGAUGGCAGAUUAGCUAGUUGGUGGGGUAAAGGCCUACCAAGGCGACGAUCUGUAGCUGGUCUGAGAGGACGACCAGCCGCACUGGGACUGAGACACGGCCCAGACUCCUACGGGAGGCAGCAGUGGGGAAUUUUGGACAAUGGGCGCAAGCCUGAUCCAGCAAUGCCGCGUGUGUGAAGAAGGCCUUCGGGUUGUAAAGCACUUUUGUCCGGAAAGAAAUUUCCUGCCCUAAUACGGCGGGGGGAUGACGGUACCGGAAGAAUAAGCACCGGCUAACUACGUGCCAGCAGCCGCGGUAAUACGUAGGGUGCAAGCGUUAAUCGGAAUGACUGGGCGUAAAGCGUGCGCAGGCGGUUCGCUAAGACAGAUGUGAAAUCCCCGGGCUUAACCUGGGAACUGCAUUUGUGACUGGCGGGCUAGAGUAUGGCAGAGGGGGGUAGAAUUCCACGUAGCAGUGAAAUGCGUAGAGAUGUGGAGGAAUACCGAUGGCGAAGGCAGCCCCCUGGGCCAAUACUGACGCUCAUGCACGAAAGCGUGGGGAGCAAACAGGAUUAGAUACCCCCGUAGUCC